AUGAUUGAAAAAUGUGAAGAGAUCAAAUUAAAAUACUAUACUUGUUUAAAUGAAAGCAACAGAAAUCCAAAGAAAUGUAAGGUCAUUGAAGAAGAGUUAAGGGAUUGUUCUAAAACUACAGGGGAAAACUACUGCAUAGAUGAAAUCCAUAAUCUUAUGAAAUGCUCAAAGUCACCAGAUCCAAAUGUUUGUGCCAACGAAUUUUUCCUCUUCCGAGAAUGUAAUAGACCAGAUGGACAUCAUAUGACUAUAGAAGGAGACAAAUAUGUCAUUGCAGAAAAGCACUUGGAUAAAUACAACGUCAGUAACGCAACAAUUGGACCAGUGCAUGCUCCGGAAAGAAAUAAUGCAAAUACAGAAUCUUUUUUAGAAAAAAUGAAAUCAACAUUACACUUAAAAAACUUUAAGGAAAAAUUUGUAGCAUAUAAGUGGUAAAAAAAAAAACAAAUGAAGAUAUUACGAUUUGAUUUGAAAUAAGUUACAAAAGUUGUUUACUUUU
rnacentral:lncRNA from 1 species